rnacentral:rRNA from 1 species
UACGUAGGGGGCUAGCGUUGUCCGGAUUUAUUGGGCGUAAAGAGCGUGUAGGCGGCCAGGUAGGUCUGGUGUGAAAACUCGAGGCUUAACCUCGAGAUGUCAUCGGAAACCAUCUGGCUAGAGUCCGGAAGAGGAGAGUGGAAUUCCUGGUGUAGCGGUGAAAUGCGCAGAUAUCAGGAAGAACACCAGUGGCGAAAGCGGCUACCUGGCCCAUUCUUGACGCUGAGGCGCGAAAGCUAGGGGAGCAAACGGG